UUCUGAUUACCUCAGUUGGUAGAGAGCUCCACUGGAAAUGGAGAGGUCUUUGCUUCGAGACCAGGACCAGGGG
rnacentral:tRNA from 1 species